AGAGUUUGAUCAUGGCUCAGGAUGAACGCUGGCGGCGUGCCUAACACAUGCAAGUCGAGCGAGAAGUCAUGGAUGGAAUCUUCGGAGGAAAGAAAUGAUGGAAAGCGGCGGACGGGUGAGUAACGCGUAGGUAACCUGCCCCAUACAGAGGGAUAGCCACUGGAAACGGUGAUUAAUACCUCAUGACACUUUCUCUUCGCAUGGAGGGAAGGUCAAAGAUUUAUCGGUAUGGGAUGGACCUGCGUCUGAUUAGCUUGUUGGUGGGGUAACGGCCUACCAAGGCGACGAUCAGUAGCCGACCUGAGAGGGUGACGGCCACAUUGGAACUGAGACACGGUUCAAACUCCUACGGGAGGCAGCAGUGGGGAAUAUUGCACAAUGGGGGAAACCCUGAUGCAGCAACGCCGCGUGAAGGAAGAAGGCCUUUGGGUCGUAAACUUCUGUUCUGAGGGAAGAAGAAAGUGACGGUACCUCAGGAGAAAGCCCCGGCUAACUACGUGCCAGCAGCCGCGGUAAUACGUAGGGGGCAAGCGUUGUCCGGAAUUAUUGGGCGUAAAGAGUACGUAGGCGGUUUGCUAA
rnacentral:rRNA from 1 species